GGGCAAGUCUGGUGCCAGCAGCCGCGGUAAUUCCAGCUCUCACAGUGUAUAUCGUUAUUGCUGCGGUUAAAAAGCUCGUAGUUGGAUCUGAGCCGAGGACUUGGUCCGGCCACUGGUCGUGAACUGGGCUCCUCGGCUAGUACGGCUGGUUUUCCAUCCGUUGCCUUUAUCGGCUGCGUAUGGUGGCUGGCGAUUUUACUUUGAAAAAAUUAGAGUGCUUCAAACAGGCUAGUGCCUGAAUACUCUUGCAUGGAAUAAAAGAAUAGGAUCUUGGUUCUAUUUUGUUGGUUUUCUGAACUGGGAUAAUGGUUAAGAGGGACGGACGGGGGCAUUCGUAUCGCUGCGUGAGAGGUGAAAUUCUUGGACCGUAGCGAGACGCCCGACUCCGAAAGCAUUUGCCAAGAAUGUCUUCAUUAAUCAAGAACGAAAGUCAGAGGUUCGAAGGCGAUCAGAUACCGCCCUAGUUCUGACCGUAAACGAUGCCAACUAGCAAUCCGUCGGCGGUAAUUACGCCUUGACGGGCAGCUUCCCGGAAACGAAAGUUUUCCGGUUCCGGGGGAAGUAUGGUUGCAAAGCUGAAACUUAAAGAAAUUGACGGAAGGGCACCCCCAGGAGUGGGCUGCGGCUUAAUUUGACUCAACACGGGAAAACUCACCUGGCCCGGACACCGUGAGGAUUGACAGAUUGAGAGCUCUUUCUUGAUUCGGUGGUUGGUGGUGCAUGGCCGUUCUUAGUUGGUGGAGUGAUUUGUCUGGUUUAUUCCGAUAACGAACGAGACUCUAGCCUACUAAAUAGUUAUCGGAUAAUCGAGUUCGAAAGACUUCUUAGAGGCACAAACGGUGUUCAGCCGCGCGAAAUUGAGCAAUAACAGGUCUGUGAUGCCCUU
rnacentral:rRNA from 1 species